UAGAGUUCCUUUUCGAACAAUUKUGAAGUUGUWCUUAUACCCGUCGAGAACUAAGUGUUUGUGCGGUUAGCACUUGCGUUGUUUAGGCGGGUUCCAUUUGCUGCCUUCAUCUUAUUUCUAUUGAAGUAAGAAGGAGAGUAGAAAUAAGAAACCGGCACGGUUUGUGCCAAGGACAGUUGUUGUUGGAGUGCGUUGCCAUCAUUUUGGUGUGCUUUGUGCUAUUCUAGUGAGCGUGUAAAUGACUCCUGGCAAUGGAUAUCUUGGCUCUCGUGUCGAUGAAGAACGUAGCGAAAUGCGACACUUGGUGUGAAUUGCAGAAUCCCGUGAACCAUCGAGUCUUUGAAUGCAAGUYGCGCUCGAGGCCGUUAGGUUGAGAGCACGUCUGUUUGGGCGUCAUGCCUUGCGUCAUUCUAACCACCCACCCAUGAUAAGCAGCACAUUGUCAGUGGUGGUGGAUGUGGAAAUUGACUCUCCGUUAUUUAAUUGUGCGGUUGGUUCAAGUGAAUGUAGUUGCAAGGUGUAUGCGCGGCGAAUGGUGUAUCGAGUUUGCACACGAUGUCUCUAACUGCGUCUAAGAGUCCUAGGCAUGAUGUAACAUUAACUGWAACCAAUUUCGAUGUUUGCCAUAACCGYAAGAUCGGACC
rnacentral:misc_RNA from 1 species